UAAAGGGCAAACAUACAGAAAUGUAUGGACGCAAAGCCAGGAGUCUACGGGUAGUUAUUGAGGAAAGAAAGUUGUUAGAAUAAUAAUACCUAAGAUAGUCAGGUUGC
rnacentral:ncRNA from 1 species